GACGAAGCGUGCGAACGUUGUUCGGAAUCACUGGGCUUAAAGGGCGCGUAGGCGGUCUGGCAAGUCAGGGGUGAAAUCCCACGGCUCAACCGUGGAAGUGCCUUUGAUACUGCUGGUCUUGAGGGAGGUAGGGGCGUGCGGAACUUCCGGUGGAGCGGUGAAAUGCGUAGAUAUCGGAAGGAACACCGGUGGCGAAAGCGGCGCGCUGGACCUCUACUGACGCUGAGGCGCGAAAGCCAGGGGAGCAAACGGG
rnacentral:rRNA from 1 species